rnacentral:lncRNA from 1 species
UGAUUUUAUAGCGGUAUCCAAUAUGGGCUCUAGUCACAAACAUUUUCAUCCAACUCACUUCAUUGAAAUGCUGAAUAUUUUCUUCCACUUUCAUAAGCUUCGAAUCAGCUUAUAUUCCAUAUCUCAAAGCAAGAAGAUAAACGUUUUAGACAUUGCUAAGUGUUACUUCCAAGUUCCUAUUUUACAUCACAUUAAAUUUGGUCUUCCUUCUCAUGUUUG